rnacentral:rRNA from 1 species
GACGAACGCUGGCGGCGUGCCUAACACAUGCAAGUCGAACGGUUCAAAGUUAAGAGUUUACUUUUAACCUUGGAUAGUGGCGGACUGGUGAGUAACGCGUGGGCAAUCUACCCAUAAAUCGGGGAUAACAGCGGGAAACCGUUGCUAAUACCCGAUAUCCUCCGUAACCCGCAUGGGCAGUGGAGGAAAGGUGGCUUAGCGAGAGCAGCUAUUGUUUAUGGAUGAGCCCGCGUCCCAUUAGCUAGUUGGUGGAGUAAGAGCCCACCAAGGCGACGAUGGGUAGCCGGCCUGAGAGGGUGACCGGCCACACUGGGACUGAGAUACGGCCCAGACUCCUACGGGAGGCAGCAGUGGGGGAUUUUGCGCAAUGGGCGAAAGCCUGACGCAGCGACGCCGCGUGAGCGAUGAAGGCCUUCGGGUUGUAAAGCUCUGUCAUAAGGGAAGAGAGGCGAGGGGAUUAACAAGCCCCUUGCAGGACAGUACCUUAAGAGGAAGCCCCGGCUAACUACGUG